AUAUACCCCAAGACUAGAGUCUGGUAUUUUGUUCAGUUUGCCGAAUCCUAGAGACAGCCUCAGAUUUUAGAAGAAUAAACAGACUGUCUACAAAAUGUGAAAAACUCUUUGCUGGCAGAUGAGAAAAGAAGCAGAGGCCCCACAGAGAAUGUCCAAGCUGGAGGUUUCAAUCAAAUCCCUUCCCUCAGAAUCUGGGAAUCCUGUGGAAGAGGAAGAAGAAAAACUCUGAGAACCAAGAGGGAUGAAAAACAUUAGGACAAUAAGACUCUCUGAAUCAACUAAGCAAUAUGCAAACGAGCAGCCUCAAGUCUCCAGAGGUUAGGAGCACAUUGUGUCUUCUCUC
rnacentral:lncRNA from 1 species